rnacentral:rRNA from 1 species
GCAUUAAGUGCCCCGCCUGGGGAGUACGGUCGCAAGACUAAAACUCAAAGGAAUUGACGGGGGCCCGCACAAGCAACGGAGCAUGCGGCUUAAUUCGACGCAACGCGAAGAACCUUACCAAGGCUUGACAUAUAGCGAAAAGUGGCAGAGAUGUCAUGUCCGCAAGGGCGCUAUACAGGUGGUGCAUGGUUGUCGUCAGCUCGUGUCGUGAGAUGUUGGGUUAAGUCCCGCAACGAGCGCAACCCUCGUUCUGUGUUGCCAGCAUUUAGUUGGGGACUCACAGGAGACUGCCGGGGUCAACUCGGAGGAAGGUGGGGAUGACGUCAAAUCAUCAUGCCCCUUAUGUCUUGGGCUGCACGCAUGCUACAAUGGCUGGUACAAAGGGCUGCGAAACCGUAAGGUGGAGCGAAUCCCAAAAAGCCAGUCUCAGUUCGGAUUGGGGUCUGCAACUCGACCCCAUGAAGUCGGAGUUGCUAGUAAUCGCAGAUCAGCAACGCUGCGGUGAAUACGUUCCCGGGCCUUGUACACACCGCCCGUCACAUCACGAAGUCGGUAACACCCAAAGUCAGUGGCCC